UACCCUAGCCCUCCUGUAUCAAUUUUUCUCUCCUCAGGCUUUGGAGCUCUUGGGUCUUUGACCAGUGUUUCGCAGCUUGAGAGGCUACAAGCCCAUUCAUAAAGUCUCUGGGAGCAGACUUGUGAGGGAGUGCUGACCCCGAGUCCUGCCGCAAACACUUCUGUCCCCUCAGGCCCUGGGGCUGGAUGGACCUCAAGAGAAUACCCCGUGCAGGACGCAACCAUGGUAGAAAUCAACCCAGUGGUAGAAGAUUCAGAUGGAGCUGUGCCGUGUAUGGAUCCAAAGAUUAAUUUUGAUAGUAGCCAGCCUUUCGCCAGAAGAACACCUUUCACCGACAGCACUGGCCCCAGGAAGAUGGAAGGACAAAGCUGGGAAGAGAGUCCUACAUAUGUUCCUGGCAUAGUCAAGAUUCGUCCCAAGCACCCUGUGUCAAACAAAGGCUCUGGUCUUUUGGGUGCUGUGCCUCCACUGUCCACUGUCUGCCUGCAUAGGAGAGGAUUGAAAACACCCGCCAGGGGCCCCGCGGGUUGACAGCCUUGGAGACGCCCAGGGACUGCUCCGUUCCGUCUUGUGGAUCGGCUGGGAGUUGAAAUCGGCUCAAGGGCAGGUGUCCGAUUUUAGGAUACAAAAGAGAGUCCAGUCUCAACUGUCAUCUAAGAAGAACAGUGAUGGAGCCCUCAAGAGGACAAAGACAUAUGACCCCGUUGAGGAGGCCCAUUAGCAAGAAGACAUACUACUGGCGUCCCAAGGUUCGGCAGGAGAACAACGCAGAGUUCUGGAAUUCCCAUUCUUCUCCAUGCGAUCCAUAGUCUAUGAGCCGCACCGUUGAACGCCUUUGUAUACUUAGCCUGCUUCUCAGAUUCGCCCUGUGGAUCACGAGCUGGUUCUUCCUUACGUGCUUGGGAAAGGAGCGUGGGAGCAAAAAGAGGAAGGCCCGCCACCAGAUGGAUGGACACAGUGGCAGCAUCCGUGGACGCAAACUGAAGAACAGUGGCGAGGACGGCGCAGGACGUGGCGGCCACUGAGUCUGAACUGAUUGAACGGCACCGACCGAGGACAACACGGAUGCAGCACGUUUUGUUCACCCGGAUGAAGGCCAGCUUGGUGAUGAGGACUAAUGCUUCGGUGGCCAUUGUCACCGUCGAAGCACUCUCCGUGACACUGCAUACGGUGGCCAAAUCUGCGAUUCCAUUCUUGGAAACAUUUUUCAGACUCGUUUGCAUGGCUGACAGCACCUCCCUGGAUUUUUCCUUUACCACUUCUACAUUGUCAAACCGCUGUCCUUUCACGUCGUCCUUCAUUCGAGGAAACAAAAAGAACUCACACACACACACACACACACACACACACAGGUCACAUGGAGUCACGUGAGUAAGCUGCAGUGGGAACAGAGAGCAUGCUGGUUUUUGCCAAAAAGUGGCGGCCGUGAGCAGGUGCAUUGUCGUGGUGGCAAAACCAG